rnacentral:snRNA from 1 species
GGAUGUGAGGGCGAUCUGGCUGUGACAUCUGUCACCCCACUGAUUGCCAGGUUUGAUUCGGCUGAUAUGGCUGGCUAGGCGGGUGUCCCCUUCCUCCCUCACCGCUCCAUGUGCGUCCUUCCCAAAGCUGUGCACUCGUUCGAAGAGGACGACCUUCUCCGAUAGAGGAGGACCAUUCUUUGGUCAAGGGUAUACGAGUAGCUGCGCUCCCCUGCUAGAACCUCCAAACAAGCUCUCAAAGCAGUUAAGAAAAAACAAAAAGGAGAAAAAGACAGUUAAGAGAAUGAUAAGACACGUCACAUAUUGGGAAACCAACUUUG